CGCUAUCAUCUAAGGCAGUGGUUCUUUACAUUGGUUGGAUCGAACCUCAGGGGUUCGGUGAAUUGGUCUCAGGGGUUUCGACGGAGCCUCUACCAUGGCGGUUAAGGAACACCCGACUCAACAUGUCAAUUAGUUGUGACACGCCCGCUUGGCCAUCACUGGCUG